UAUGAUUCGAACAAUCAGAGAUAAUCAGAUCAACAUACCAAAGAGAUUAAGAGAUUUUAGGGAAUAGAAAGAGAGGCUCAAAACUCCAUUAAUUAUUAGCAAUGAGGUUUACAAGGCUUUAUAUGAGUGAUACAUGAUACAAUUCGAAAUCAUAAGGUCAGAGGAGAUCCAGAACGUGUGGAGUCAAGGAGAGCCAUCCAAAAACAGCCAAUGGGUGUUCUCACAUGCUUGGACAGGCUGUAAAGGUGUUUUACCUUUCCAGCUAUGACCAGACCUUAUCC
rnacentral:lncRNA from 1 species